UACGUAGGGUGCGAGCGUUUAUCCGGAAUUAUUGGGCGUAAAGAGCUCGUAGGCGGUUUGUCGCGUCUGUCGUGAAAGUCCGGGGCUUAACCCCGGAUCUGCGGUGGGUACGGGCAGACUAGAGUGCAGUAGGGGAGACUGGAAUUCCUGGUGUAGCGGUGGAAUGCGCAGAUAUCAGGAGGAACACCGAUGGCGAAGGCAGGUCUCUGGGCUGUAACUGACGCUGAGGAGCGAAAGCAUGGGGAGCGAACAGG
rnacentral:rRNA from 1 species